UAGAGUUUGUUCAUGGCUCAGAACGAACGCUGGCGGCGUGCCUAACACAUGCAAGUCGAGCGCGAAUAGGGGCAACCCUUAGUAGAGCGGCGCACGGGUGCGUAACACGUGGAUAAUCUGCCUGGAUGCCUGGGAUAACCAGUCGAAAGAUUGGCUAAUACCGGAUAAGCCCACGGUUUCUUCGGAGACUGAGGGAAAAGGUGGCCUCUGUAUACAAGCUAUCACAACCAGAUGAGUCCGCGGCCCAUCAGCUAGUUGGCGGGGUAAUGGCCCACCAAGGCGACGACGGGUAGCUGGUCUGAGAGGACGAUCAGCCACACUGGAACUGAGACACGGUCCAGACUCCUACGGGAGGCAGCAGUGGGGAAUUUUGCGCAAUGGGCGAAAGCCUGACGCAGCAACGCCGCGUGUGUGAUGAAGGUCUUUGGAUUGUAAAGCACUUUCGACCGGGACGAAACCGUAAAGCCUAAUACGCUUUGCCUUGACGGUACCGGGAGAAGAAGCACCGGCUAACUCUGUGCCAGCAGCCGCGGUAAUACAGAGGGUGCAAGCGUUGUUCGGAAUUAUUGGGCGUAAAGCGCGUGUAGGCGGCUUUGCAAGUCGGGUGUGAAAGCCCUCAGCUCAACUGAGGAAGUGCGCCCGAAACUGCAGAGCUUGAGUGCCGGAGAGGGUGGCGGAAUUCCCCAAGUAGAGGUGAAAUUCGUAGAUAUGGGGAGGAACACCGGUGGCGAAGGCGGCCACCUGGACGGUAACUGACGCUGAGACGCGAAAGCGUGGGUAGCAAACAGGAUUAGAUACCCUGGUAGUCCACGCCGUAAACGAUGAGAACUAGGUGUCGUGGGAGUUGACCCCCGCGGUGCCGUAGCUAACGCAUUAAGUUCUCCGCCUGGGAAGUACGGUCGCAAGACUAAAACUCAAAGGAAUUGACGGGGGCCCGCACAAGCGGUGGAGCAUGUGGUUUUAAUUCGACGCAACGCGCAGACCUUACCUGGUCUUGACUUCCUCGGAAUCCUUCAGAGAUGAGGGAGUGCCCGCAAGGG
rnacentral:rRNA from 1 species